GUGAGUCUUUGUUGGAAGAAUUAUUCCUUAAAAACAAGGGCCUUUCAGAAGAAGAACGUGUUAGAUAAAAAUGGACACUUUUCAACAAAGGUUUCUGAGCUCCCAGCUUGAAGAAUAGCAAUUUCCCUCCCAGCUCAGAGAAGUAAAAACUAUUCCUUCUUUGAUGUGGUUUCAUGUCUCACGUAGGAAAUAGGGUUAUGUGGGUGAUAAAAAUAAAUCAGCUCUGAGGCUCAUGUUUUCUUCUCUGGCAGCCUAGGGGGUGUGUUUUUAUUUUGUGAGUGUGAAACUGAAAGGUAUAUAAAAAAAGUUGCCAUUGAUAUAUACACACACAAUGAAGCCAAGCUAUGGAACAAUGGAGGAAUGCCUAAUUCAUUAUGCCAGAAAAUGGAUCAUUACCAUCAAUACCACAUGGAGUUAAUCAUUUCCAAAGAGCUAUAGUACCAGGAUAUCCAUAACACUGCACCUAAAUGGAAUAAUGUUUUAUUUUUUCUUUGAUCUGUCACAGGUACUUCAAUCUUUGCCAGGACUCUAGUGACACUAUAAACAUUUCAUUACAUUGUUCCUAUGAAUUACACAAACCUUGUGAUAGCUCUUGAAGUUAAUUGAAUUUUUUUUAAAUUCCCAGUAUUAUCUUGUUUGUCAUUUUGUAAUGCUUUAUAAAAUAACAUGGAACCUGACCCUCCUUUUCUUUUCCUGGCUAUUUGCAUUUAGGUUAAAUGGGAGUUUUUUCUUUACAACUAAGGAUAAGGAUGAAAACAGCUAGUUGAAACCCAAGAGUAAGAAAAAGUGGAAAACAGCUGGUCCUCAGGAUCCUCCAGCCUUUGCCAAGGAAAAGUGGUUUUAAUCACUGAAGAAUGAGGCUUCAACAUAUGGAAAGACUGUAAGGUGUUCCUGGACAGCAAGUGAGUGACUUGCUCACAGGCGGUAAUUCAGGGACCCAGGUUUCUUCUACCUGGUAGCUCUACUGUCCUUCAGAACCUCAGAGCCCUGUGCAUUCAGCCAGCAGGAGAAAGACCACUACUAAGGUCAUUCACUUUGGGAGAAGCCAGUCUUCAUGCCAUGAGGACGUUCAGGCAGCCCUGUGGAGAGAACCACAUGGAAAGGAUCUGAGGUCUCUCACCAGCACCAAUUUGCCAGCUAUGGGAAUGGGCCACCUUGGAAGGAGACUGUCCAGCCCAAGUGAAGGCUGCAGAUAACUGCAGCUUUGGCCAACAUUUGGCUAUAUUGCUUUGGGAAAUCUCAAGCCAGAACCAUCUGGCCAAGCUGCUCUUAAAUUCCUGAUCCACAGAAGUUUUGGAAGGCCCUCUUGUGUGAUCCAGAGAGGUUGCAACAUUUUUUG
rnacentral:lncRNA from 1 species